UACCGGCAGCUCGAGUGAUGUCCCAUAUUAUUGGGCCUAAAGCGUCCGUAGCUGGCCAACCAAGUCCAUCGGGAAAUCCACCCGCCCAACGGGUGGGCGUCCGGUGGAAACUGGCUGGCUUGGAACCGGAAGGCUCAGAGAGUACGUCCGGGGUAGGAGUGAAAUCCCGUAAUCCCGGACGGACUACCGAUGGCGAAAGCACUCUGAGAAGACGGCUUCGACAGUGAGGGACGAAAGCUAGGGUCUCAAA
rnacentral:rRNA from 1 species